ensembl:lncRNA
GGAAAUCAUGGUGGACUGUGGGGAAGCUGCUUAUUCUUUGAGGCCAAACCAGCUGCUAGUCAGACAUCAGGAAAAUAUGUGACAUGAUGAUGUCAAUAAAUAACAGAAGAAAAGUCUGGACUUCAAAUGAGGCAUUUCAAGAAGCGCAGCACUUCCAAAAGGUGUCGACCCGGAGCUCCGUCAGAGGAAGUUCGGUGGCCGGAUGAAGCGAUAAAACCAACCUGACACCUGAAGAGACAUGAACAUGACCCAAAACGUCCUGCAGGCUGGAAGUGAGAUAAAUAGAAACAGAAAAUGACACAUCCAUCCAUCCAUUAUCUAUACAUCGCUUAGUCCUCAUUAGGGUCAUGGGGGAUGUUGGAGUCUAUCUCAGCUGACUUGGGUCGAAGGCAGGGAACACCCUGGACAGGUCACCAGUCUAUCGCAGGUCUACAUAUACAG